CACGUAGGGUGCGAGCGUUGUCCGGAAUUAUUGGGCGUAAAGAGCUCGUAGGCGGUCUGUCACGUCGGCUGUGAAAACCCGAGGCUCAACCUCGGGCCUGCAGUCGAUACGGGCAAACUAGAGUACUGCAGGGGAGACUGGAAUUCCCGGUGUAGCGGUGAAAAUGCGCAGAUAUCGGGAAGAACACCCGUGGCGAAGGCGGCUCUCUGGGGACGGUACUGACGCUGAGACGCGAAAGCG
rnacentral:rRNA from 1 species